UACGUAGGCAGCGAGCGUUGUUCGGAGUUACUGGGCGUAAAGAGUGCGUAGGCGGUGUUCCAAGUCUGUUGUGAAAUCUCCCGGCUUAACUGGGAGGGUGCGGCGGAAACUGGGACGGCUGGAGUACGGGAGAGGUAAGCGGAAUUCCUGGUGUAGCGGUGAAAUGCGUAGAUAUCAGGAGGAACACCGGUGGCGAAGGCGGUUCUCUGGGAAUAUCCUGACGCUGAGGAGCGAAAGUGUGGGGGAGCGAACAGG
rnacentral:rRNA from 1 species